rnacentral:hammerhead_ribozyme from 1 species
AUCCGGCUGAUGAGUGUUAAAUAGGACGAAACGCGCGUCUUCUAU